GAGAUGCUAAUUUAGAUUUUUGUUUUCUGACCAAUAGCCGACCCUCGUUAACCAAUCAUUAACCCAAAAUUAAAUUUCAAUU